rnacentral:rRNA from 1 species
UACUAUAUGCUUGUCUCAAAGGCUAAGCCAUGCAUGUCUAAGUAUAAGUAUUAUACAGCGAAACUGCGAAUGGCUCAUUAAAACAGUUAUAGUUUAUUUGAUGGUCAUCCUAUAUGGCUAACUGUCCUAAUUCGAGAGCUAAUACAUGCGUCAAGGCCUGACUUCAUGGAAGGGCUGUAUUUAUUAGAUAAAGAACCAAGUCUCUUCGGAGACGCUGGUGAAUCAUAAUAACUAAUCGGAGCUCAGUUCACUGAGCCAGAUCAUUCAAGUUUCUGACCUAUCAGGUUUCGACGGUAAGGUAUUAGCUUACCGUGCCUAUGACGGGUAACGGGGAAUUAGGGUUCGAUUCCGGAGAGGGAGCCUGAGAGACGGCUACCACAUCUAAGGAAGGCAGCAGGCGCGCAAAUUACCCAAUUCUGACACAGGGAGGUAGUGACAAGAAAUAACAAUACAGGGCAUCAUUGUCUUGUAAUUGGAAUGAGUAGAAUCCACACCCCUCUACGAGUAUCAAUUGGAGGGCAAGUCUGGUGCCAGCAGCCGCGGUAAUUCCAGCUCCAAUAGCGUAUAUUUAAGUUGUUGCAGUUAAAAAGCUCGUAGUUGGAUUUCUGCUGAUCGCUGUCGGUCUGCCGUCAGGUGUGUACUGGCAGUGUUUGGCAUCUAUUCGAGAUUGGGUGUCUACUUGAUUGUGUGCACUCGAUGUCGGAGCUAAUACUUUGAGAAAAUUAGAGUGUUCCACG